rnacentral:rRNA from 1 species
GACGUAGGGCGCGAGCGUUGUCCGGAUUUAUUGGUCGUAAAGCGCUCGCAGGUGGUUCGUUGCGUCGUGCGUGAAAGACCCCGGCUCAACUGGGGAGUGUCGUGCGAUACGGGCGGACUGGAGGCCAGUAGGGGGAUGCGGAAUUCCGGGUGUAGUGGUGGAAUGCGUAGAGAUCCGGAGGAACACCAGCGGCGAAGGCGGCAUCCUGGACUGGUCCUGACACUCAGGAGCGAAAGCGUGGGGAGCGAUCCGG